rnacentral:tRNA from 2 species
GUACCCUUAGCUCAGUUGGUUAGAGCAGACGGCUCAUAACCGUCCGGUCGUAGGCUCAAGUCCUAAAGGGUACA